AUCUGGUUGAUCCUGCCAGUGAUUAUAUGCUUGUCUCAAAGCUUAAGCCAUGCAAGUCUAAGUUCAGGCUUGUUCCUUUCGGGGAGCGAGCCGAAACUGCGAACGGCUCAUUAGUCAGAUAAGGUUCCUUGGCGAAAAGCGGGUCGGUUUAAUGGAUAACUGUGGUAAUUCUAGAGCUAAUACAUGCAACGCACCGUGGUCCCCCCCUCCUUUCAUCCUGUGAGCGGGUGGGGGGAAACGGCAUUUAUUCUCUGGACCAGAUCGCCCUAGCCCGCGAAACUACCGUCAAAAGUAGCGACGGGGCGAAGCGACAAGUGUUGAAAUCCGAAUAACUGUGCCGAUCGCGGGGUCUUCCCGGGCCCCCGACGACUUUGCCAUGAAGUGUCUGUCCCAUCAAUUUGCGAUGGUCGGCGACCUGCCUACCACGGUGUUGACGGGUAACGGGGAAUCAGGGUUCGAUUCCGGAGAGGGAGCCUGCGAAACGGCUACCACCUCCAAGGAGGGCAGCAGGCGCGCAACUUACCCAAUCCCGACACGGGGAGGUAGUGACGAAAAAUAACGUGGCGGGGCCCUUUCGUGGUCGCCGCGGGCGGAAUGAGCGCAAUUUAAAAGAGUGUGCGAGGAGCUAUUGGAGGGCAAGCCUGGUGCCAGCAGCCGCGGUAAUUCCAGCUCCAAUAGCCUAUAUCGGAGUUGCUGCGGUUAAGAAGCUCGUCGUUGGAUCUCGGAGGCGGCACGGUCGGGCGCGAUACGCUGCGGGUCCGACCGGCGAUUUCUCGGCCGUCCCUAACCGGCGCGCGGGGCGAGGUGGACUUCGCGGUCCUGCCUCGUUUUUCUCCUUCGCGGGAGAGAACCCGCCGCAUUUUCUGUCUACCUUGAAAAAAUUAGAGUGCUAAAGGCAGGCUAAAACCCCGAGCCUGAAUAUUUCGUGCAUGGAAAUAAGCGGGGAUGCUCUUUUUCCGGGAGGGCGGUUCCGACCGACUGGCGACGUCGCUUUCGCUGUCGGAUACGCGGAGAGCUAGGGAUUUCGAGAGAACCGGUUGGGGGCCGAGCGGUACCUGGGCGGGAAAAGGGUGUCAU
rnacentral:rRNA from 1 species